rnacentral:rRNA from 1 species
GACGUAGGAUGCAAGCGUUGUCCGGAUUUAUUGGGCGUAAAGAGUUCGUAGGCGGUCCGUUAAGUCUGAUGUUAAAGAUCGGGGCUCAACCCUGGGAGUGCAUUGGAUACUGAGUGGCUGGAGUACCGGAGAGGAGGGUGGAAUUCCUGGUGUAGCGGUGAAAUGCGUAGAUAUCAGGAGGAACACCGGUGGCGAAGGCGGCCCCCUGGUUGGAUACUGACGCUGAG